rnacentral:lncRNA from 1 species
GGAAAGUCUCCACAGGGUCUUUGAAGAUUAAGUAUUGUGUGAUGAAGAAAUCAAGGGUCAAAAUAACCCUACUACCUGCCUGACAUUUUAAGUCUAGAGGGCAUGACGCUUUCAAAGAUCAAUCAGGCAGCCCUGAGCUGCUUAAGAGACCUUUCUGCCUGUAGCUCUGACAAAACCUGUUUUCUUGGAUGCUGCUUCCACCCGCUCUCCAUCCCUUCCUGCUCUAACAGAAGGGAUCUUUUCCCUGACUAGUCUUGCUCCUCCUUCAAACCCCAGCUGUCCUGGUCUCUGGCUGGAAGCCUUCUGUGAACACCAGCCUGGGUGGGAGCCCCUUUCUCUGCCUCAUAGCAGCAGAGGACGGCGGGGUCUGCCUAGCACAUGGCAGGGUGCAGUGCCUGUCUGAAUGUGUGAAGAGUUCUUAGUGAUGGGUAAAGGGUGUUCCUGUGUGUUUUAGAUUCUGCUCAGCAAUCCUCAGAUGUGGUGGUUAAAUGAUUCCAAUCCUGAAACCGACAACCGUCAAGAAAGUCCUUCCCAGGAAAACAUUGACCAAGUGAGUGGCAGGCCUUUGUGCCCUCAGCUUGGACAGCCUCGGGUGGGGUUGCUUGGGGUAACCCGGGUGAAUCAGGCAGCAGGACUGGGGGAGUCCAUGCUGAAACCUUGGCUCCCAGGCUCCAGGUGUAACCUGCCCACCUCAGAGGCCACCCACGCAGUAACAGAGGGCAGGGGAGGCCUCCUUGGAAAGCAGGAAAACUGGGGAAGUGUCAGGAAGUUCUUUUUAGGUUUGCCGCCUUUGUCUAUGCACCACUGUUUGCAUCAGCCCCAUUUCUCUGCCUGUGACCUAAAAGGAUGGCACUGUGACCUGUGAAACCCAUCCAGCUUUGUAUCCCAAGUGACAGCUCUGUCCACAUUUGUCCCCCUACACGCGUUAGCAUGCCUGUAUGCUGUGGCCACUGACCUCGCGGUGCUCGUGGUGAGGCUGGUGUGGCGCCCUGCUCUCAGCCCGAGGUCACUGCCUGUCCUGAGAUGGCUGCUCCCUGAUGCACCUGACUCGAGUCUUCCAAGCCCCCUUCCAGGUUGCUCCACGCUCACAUUGCACAGAAGCAUGACUUGUGCACAAAGGGCCAUGGUGCGCACGCCGGGAGCUCUUAAACAUGAGAGUCGGCUGUCCGCCCGUGUGGGUGAUGGGGGUGGCAGAAGAGGCGCCAGGGGCCGAUGCUGUGACCCCUGCACUCUCCCCUAGUUGGUGUACAUGGGUUUUGAUGCACUUGUGGCCGAAGCUGCGCUGAGAGUGUUCAGAGGCAACGUCCAGCUGGCCGCCCAGACCCUUGCUCACAACGGAGGAAGCCUGCCUCCCGAGCUGCCGCUGUCGCCAGAAGACUCUUUGUCCCCGCCAGCCACAUCCCCUUCUGACUCCGCAGGGAACCUCUAGUGCCUCAACAGACGAAGACAUGGAGACAGAGGCCGUCAAUGAGAUACUGGAAGACAUUCCAGAGCAUGAGGAAGACUAUCUUGACUCAACUCUGGAAGACGAAGAAAUUAUUAUUGCAGAGUACCUAUCCUAUGUAGAAAACAGGAAGUCAGCAACAAAGAAAAACUAAAUAAUGAACAGAAAUAGCGCUAAUUUUCUGCUUAUAAAUGCUAUCAUUAUGAAAAGGCUAAUGCAGCUCUUUCUGUUCUUACCUUUUAUCUGAAUUGCAAGUCCUCUUUGGGUGUAGGAGGGGGUGGGCAGGGGACAAGUCCAGGAGGGGUCCCAGGGCCUUCAUGCGUGGUCUCGGGGAAGAAGCUUCCUCUGGCCUGGCGCAGGCCGUUCCAUCUGCCUCCCAGGUCUGCGUCCCUAACCCCUUCCCCAGCUUGGUGUUUUACCCCGAAACAGGAAGGAACAGGGGUCCUGUGGAACAGGGGUCCUGGGGAAGGUGUCCAGGGCAGGGUCCUGGGAAGGGUGUCCCGACCACUUCCUCUCCAGCUGUGGCUCCAUCUGCCCAGCUUGCCUACCUCCUGCACCCACUGCCCAUGACCUUCCUGCUUCCCACGCUGCCAUCUCUGCCAGGGUGCCCCAUGGGUUCCUGUGCCACCCUUUCCCCGCCCCUCAAAUCGUCCUUUAAGUAAGUCUUCCUUCCAAGUGCUGUGGGGCAUAACGAUGAGGCACUGGCCUUGGGGGCCACACCAGGUCGCAGCAAAUGCCUUCAGCCUGGGACGCCAGUGUUUUAUGCUCUUAGUUCAGUAAAAUACGCCCCCAAAAUUCAAGAUUGAGUGUCAGGCUUUAUAUAUAUUCAGCAUUCCUCAUUACAGAAAUCUUUUAUUGAAUGGGAAAGGUUUAAAUGCUAACCAAAGCAAUUUAUUUUUAAUUAAUAUUUUUAGACUGUGCUGUCAUACUGAACUCACUGCUAGCUAAGAGACCUAUCAGAGAUUUAGAUAUAUUUUCUCCAGGUUUUUUGUGGGGUUUUUUUUUGUUGUUGUUGUUCCAGCCAUGUGACAGAGGCUCUUUCUAAAAGUAUGUAGUUCGCUGUGUGUCGGCUCCAGCAGUAACCGUCCUCACUGCGCCACGCACUCCUCUGUAGAUGUGUGCCCAGUGGGAGUUCCUUCCAGCCCCAGGACCGCAGCAGCAGCCAGGUGCCGAGUGGAUUGAGUGCCAGGUGUAUCCAAGACUUUCCCUCCCUUCCAGAAGGCACUGGCUGAAGACAGGAUGGAUCAUGCGGAGCCGGCUGAAAUGCUCCAACUUUUUCAAAGUGUGGGUGGUCCAGUUUGGACUGAUGGGAAUCUUCUUGUCAUUCUUUUUAAACGGAUGAUACCGAUGGAAAUAAAAGGUGGGAA